GACGAACGCUGGCGGCGUGCUUAACACAUGCAAGUCGAACGGAAAGGCCCUGCUUGCAGGGUACUCGAGUGGCGAACGGGUGAGUAACACGUGGGUGAUCUGCCCUGCACUUCGGGAUAAGCCUGGGAAACUGGGUUUAACACCGGAUAGGAGCCAUUUUUAGUGUGAUGGUUGGAAAGUUUUUUCGGUGUAGGUUGAGCUCGCGGCCUAUCAGCUGGUUGGUGGGGUAAUGGCCUACCAAGGCGGCGACGGGUAGCCGGCCUGAGAGGGUGGACGGCCACAUUGAGACUGAGAUACGGCCCAGACUCCUACGCGUGGCAGCAGUGGGGAAUGUUGCACAAUGGGCGCAAGCCUGAUGCAGCGACGCCGCGUGGGGGAUGACGGCCUUCGUGUUGUAAACUCCUUUCGCUAGGGACGAAGCUUUUUGUGACGGUACCUAGAUAAGAAGCACCGGCUAACUACGUG
rnacentral:rRNA from 1 species